UGGGGAAUUUUGGACAAUGGGCGAAAGCCUGAUCCAGCAAUGCCGCGUGUGUGAAGAAGGCCUUCGGGUUGUAAAGCACUUUUGUCCGGAAAGAAAUCCUUGGCUCUAAUACAGUCGGGGGAUGACGGUACCGGAAGAAUAAGCACCGGCUAACUACGUGCCAGCAGCCGCGGUAAUACGUAGGGUGCAAGCGUUAAUCGGAAUUACUGGGCGUAAAGCGUGCGCAGGCGGUUUGCUAAGACCGAUGUGAAAUCCCCGGGCUCAACCUGGGAACUGCAUUGGUGACUGGCAGGCUAGAGUAUGGCAGAGGGGGGUAGAAUUCCACGUGUAGCAGUGAAAUGCGUAGAGAUGUGGAGGAAUACCGAUGGCGAAGGCAGCCCCCUGGGCCAAUACUGACGCUCAUGCACGAAAGCGUGGGGAGCAAACAGGAUUAGAUACCCUGGUAGUCCACGCCCUAAACGAUGUCAACUAGUUGUCGGGGA
rnacentral:rRNA from 1 species